UCGCCCUUAGAGUUUGAUCCUGGCUCAGGAUGAACGCUAGCUACAGGCUUAACACGUGCAAGUCGAGGGGCAGCAUGAACUUAGCUUGCUAAGUUUGAUGGCGACCGGCGCACGGGUGAGUAACACGUAUCCAACCUUCCGUUUACUCAGGGAUAGCCUUUCGAAAGAAAGAUUAAUACCUGAUAGUAUGGUGAGAUUGCAUGAUAGCACCAUUAAAGAUUUAUUGGUAAACGAUGGGGAUGCGUUCCAUUAGGUAGUAGGCGGGGUAACGGCCCACCUAGCCGACGAUGGAUAGGGGUUCUGAGAGGAAGGUCCCCCACAUUGGAACUGAGACACGGUCCAAACUCCUACGGGAGGCAGCAGUGAGGAAUAUUGGUCAAUGGGCGAGAGCCUGAACCAGCCAAGUAGCGUGAAGGAUGAAGGUCCUACGGAUUGUAAACUUCUUUUAUACGGGAAUAAAGUAUCCUACGUGUAGGAUUUUGUAUGUACCGUAUGAAUAAGCAUCGGCUAACUCCGUGCCAGCAGCCGCGGUAAUACGGAGGAUGCGAGCGUUAUCCGGAUUUAUUGGGUUUAAAGGGAGCGUAGAUGGAUGUUUAAGUCAGUUGUGAAAGUUUGCGGCUCAACCGUAAAAUUGCAGUUGAUACUGGAUAUCUUGAGUGCAGUUGAGGCAGGCGGAAUUCGUGGUGUAGCGGUGAAAUGCUUAGAUAUCACGAAGAACUCCGAUUGCGAAGGCAGCCUGUUAAGCUGCAACUGACAUUGAGGCUCGAAAGUGUGGGUAUCAAACAGGAUUAGAUACCCUGGUAGUCCACACGGUAAACGAUGAAUACUCGCUGUUUGCGAUAUACAGCAAGCGGCCAAGCGAAAGCGUUAAGUAUUCCACCUGGGGAGUACGCCGGCAACGGUGAAACUCAAAGGAA
rnacentral:rRNA from 1 species